GGCGGACGGGUGAGUAAUGUAUAGUUAAUCUGCCCUUUAGAGGGGGAUAACAGUUGGAAACGACUGCUAAUACCCCAUACUCCUUUUACAUUAAUUGUAAUUGGGAAAUGUUUUUUCGCUAAAGGAUGAGACUAUAUGGUAUCAGGUAGUUGGUGGGGUAAGAGCCUACCAGGCCAAUGACGCCUAGCUGGUCUGAGAGGAUGAUCAGCCACACUGGAACUGAGACACGGUCCAG
rnacentral:rRNA from 1 species